rnacentral:ncRNA from 2 species
AAGAACGCAACACUUGCCGGUCCGCGUGCGGAAGAUAAACGGGAAACAGGAAGACGUCUUUCGCCACCCACAAGGUUGGCGGCCAUGGCGUCCAGCCUGUGCUGCCCCCGCAACGGUCCCCAUGCGCGCGAUGCGCCCAUGGCAGCCCGAUACCGGCCAGUUCGAUCGCCAGGAC